rnacentral:snRNA from 1 species
UUACUGACAUGGCAUAGCCUGGAUGACUCUUGUAGAUAGCAACUAGAUUCUACAUUUCCAAAAAACAAAAACAAAAAACCCCAAAACCAUGUGCUGACCCCUGCGAUUUCCCCAAAUGCGGGAAACUCGACUGCAUAAUUUGUGGUAGUGGGGGACUGCGUUCGCGCUCUCCCCUU